AGAGAGGGCAGAGCUGCGGGAAAGUGGCAGGCAUGUGGCUGAGGGCAGGUUUGGGUGCAGAACUGUGGAGGGGCAGGGCCGGCCUCCCAGUGAAUGAGCUCCUGGUCUGCAGGUGCCAAAGUACUGUUCCGUGUGGGGCUGACACUGGUGCGCCUGGCGCUGGGCACUGCAGAGCAGCGAGGGGCCUGCCCUGGCCUCCUGGAGACACUGGGGGCCCUUCGAGCCAUCCCCCCCGCACAGCUGCAGGAGGAGGCCUUCAUGUCACAGGUGCACAGUGUGGUGCUGUCGGAGCGGGACCUGCAGCGGGAGAUUAAGGACCAGGCGGUGGGGGAGGAGGAGGUCCUCCAUGGCAUAUACUGGGUCAGGCACUAGCAUGGAGGAGGGUUACAGAGUGGGGCACGUGAGGACCCAUGGAACCGUCCUGGUGCCCAGGCCCUCACAAGUACCAAAGCCAGCACCAAAGGAAUCAGGGUAGGGGUUGGCUGGGUCAAGGGACCCCAGAGGGCACCAGGAAUAAAAUAUUCUUGAACAGA
rnacentral:sRNA from 1 species